GACGAACGCUGGCGGCGUGCCUAAUACAUGCAAGUUGAGCGAUGAAGCUUGGUGCUUGCUCCAAUUUGAAGAGCAGCGAACGGGUGAGUAACGCGUGGGGAAUCUGCCUUUGAGCGGGGGACAACAUUUGGAAACGAAUGCUAAUACCGCAUAACAACUUUAAACAUAAGUUUUAAGUUUGAAAGAUGCAAUUGCAUCACUCAAAGAUGAUCCCGCGUUGUAUUAGCUAGUUGGUGAGGUAAAGGCUCACCAAGGCGAUGAUACAUAGCCGACCUGAGAGGGUGAUCGGCCACAUUGGGACUGAGACACGGCCCAAACUCCUACGGGAGGCAGCAGUAGGGAAUCUUCGGCAAUGGACGAAAGUCUGACCGAGCAACGCCGCGUGAGUGAAGAAGGUUUUCGGAUCGUAAAACUCGGUUGGUAGAGAAGAACGUUGGUGAGAGUGGAAAGCUCAUCAAGUGACGGUAACUACCCAGAAAGGGACGGCUAACUACGUG
rnacentral:rRNA from 1 species